rnacentral:rRNA from 1 species
UUAGUGUAAAAAUUAUUAAUAAUGAUAAUAAUUUUAAAUAGUCCUGUCAAAAUUUGGUGCCAGCAGAAGCGGUUAAACCAAGUGGACAAUCCAUCAGAGUUUUGAUUAGGUAUAAAGGGUACGUAGCUUGAUAAAAUAUAUCUAGAGUCAAAUAGAGGUAAAUUUAAUAUCUAGAGAAGGGGUUACAUCCUAUAAUACUAGAGGGAGAGCUAAAGGCGAAAGCAAUUUACCAAGUAAUGACUGACAGUAAGGUACGAAAGCUAAGGCAUGAAUAGGAAUUAGAUACUCCAGUACUCUUAGCUGUAAACGAUGCAAAUUAGGGAUUUAGAACGAGUCUUUAUGUAAAUACGAUAAAUUUGCCACCUGUAUAGUAUAGUCCCAUGACUGAAAUACAAAUAAUUAGACGGUUUGUGAGCAAACGGAGUGGAGCAUGUUAUUUAAUUCGAUAACCCGCGAAAAAUCUUACCACAUCUUGCAUAAUUUUAUUAUAAUUAUAAUAAUUUUACAGGUGUUGCAUGGCUGUCCUAAGCUAGUGUUGUGAAAUGUUAGGUUAAUUCCGUAUAACUAGCGCAAUCCUUGCUAUGAUUAUAAA